GAGGCAAAUUCAGGAACCAAGCUUACUCUUGGAUUAGGUGUCAUGAAUAGAUCUGCACCUGUCCUGUGGGGUUGAUCCGCACCUGCUUUGGGCUGACAAUAACUGACCAAAUAAGUAAAGAGUGAACAAAAUCUAGCGGUGGUGGACAG